GAGGGUACAGCUCUAGCGGUAGAGUGCAUGCUUAGCAUGCACAAGGCGCUGGGUUCAAUCCCCAGUACCUCCA
rnacentral:tRNA from 1 species